UUUUCCAACGUUUAAUACCUAUAGAAAUAACAUACGUGGCUGUAGUGUGAUUUUGCGUACAACUAAAGCGAGUUUUAUGGUAUCUGAAUAAUUGUUCGUUAAUUGAUUCCAAUUUUUGUUAAAUUUUGCCAUACGUGAUGUCCUCCUUCUGGUCAUUAUGCUGACCACUUUUUGUAAUAUGUAGGUAGUCUUUCUAUGAACAUGCAAUCCUGGUGAACUAUAGAAUACAUAAAAAUUACUCGUCCAGUGGUGCGUAAAUGAUAUCAAAGAAACAAAUACUGCGUAUCUAGUACAGUUACAUCAGAUAUGUAAAUAACGAAAACAUAAUAUUGGUAAAUGUGAUCUAAAGACUUUGACUUAGACUUUCUACAAAUAGAAGCGAAACAUGAAUCAAAUGAUUGAACAAAGCGGCUUCUGUAAUACCUAAAGACAAAAGAAAGAAAAUUGAGCGUGAUGUUGUCUGGUUCACUGAGCAUCUUGACAUUGUGUUAUUUACUUGAAGAUAAUUUCGAUGUGGACUGAAUUUUUCUAAACUACAGAUAAAUGCUGAUUUUCAACACUCGUUUGAGUUACUUCGAUUACUUUUCGUCAAGAAUGUUCCAACGAUGAAUGAAUUUGUCAAGGAAAAAAAAGAUCGUGCAGGCGGCGGCGGUGUUGGGUGCUUAUUACAACUACAGAAAAAAAAAAUGAAAUUUCAAGAAUAUUUGACGCUGAACGUACCAACUAUAAAGAUGAAAACACUCUGAUUACAAUCAAGAUGUCAGUAAUAAAUUCCUUCAUCAUCGAUCUUCUACACAACCAAACACAAAAUAAAAUCCCAUAAUGAUUUAUUGAAAACAAUAAGAAUACGUUUACCUAUAGAAAACUUAUUUUCCAUGGUUGUGUUUUGAUCGUUUAAUUGAUGAAAAUGGAGUGUAUUCGGUUUAAAAUAAGUGUAAAAAUAAUUUAUACUAGUCAGAAUCAGGUUCCUAUUACGUUCACAAUAUGUAUUUAUUUUUAACCGACGACGAUUACAUUUCAUUUGAAAAUAUAACUUUUAAAAAAAACUAUAACGCUAUUGACGUAAGUUAAGUAGGUACUCCUCUAUAAAAUGAUCUAAAAUACUAUUGUAUAACAACACUAUAAUAUAGCUUAAUGAAGGACGCCCGCGUCGAAGCGCUCGUAUUUAAAAAAAAAAAAUACUGCCAAAAAAAAAAAAGGAGAAUAACAUUUGGCCGCAUCAAAAGCAAAAAUAAUGAUGUGAUUGAUGGUAAUCCGGCCGGUGCGGCGAUUUUGUUAAAUGAUAACUAACCAGUAACCACCACCUCGUCGUCUUCUUACCCUCUAGUUCGUUUUACCACCAUCCAUCAAGUUAUAUAUACACAAUCACCUCUCUCUCUCUCUUUUUGCUGGCUUGCACCCUGCACCCUGCACUGUUGUUGCUGCGUUCGU